UGGCAGUGUCUUAGCUGGUUGUUGUUGUUGCUGUUGCUGACGACGCUGACGUCGCCAACAAUCAGUUGGCUACUGCCCUC
rnacentral:pre_miRNA from 1 species